GUCUUUUUGAUAAAUAAUUUAAAGUCUAAUCUGCCCCCUGAAAUUAUUUUAAAGGGCUGCGGUAUUUUAACCGUACAAAGGUAGCAUAAUAAUUAGGUUUUUUAUUGAAAUCUAGAAUGAAUGAUUGGACGAGAUACAAGCUGUUUUAAAAUAAUUAAUUAAAAUUUAAUUUUUUAGUUAAAAAGCUAAAAUUCUAUUAAAAGACGAGAAGACCCURUAAAUCUUUAUAACAAAAUUAUUUUAAUAAAUUUUUUUAUUAAAAUUAAUAAUUUAAUAAUUAGUUAUUUUAUUGGGGUGAUAUAAAAAUUUAAUAAACUUUUUUUAAUUUAAUUACUUAAAUUAAAGUUUUAAAUGUUAUGAUCUAUUAUUAAUAAUUCAAAGAAUAAGAUACUUUAGGGAUAACAGCGUAAUUUUAAUUUUAAGUUCUCAUUAAAAUUAAAGAUUGC
rnacentral:rRNA from 1 species